rnacentral:rRNA from 1 species
UGGGGAAUAUUGCACAAUGGGCGCAAGCCUGAUGCAGCGACGCCGCGUGAGGGAUGGAGGCCUUCGGGUUGUAAACCUCUUUCGCCAGUGAAGCAGGCCAUCUUCUUUGUGGGGUGGUUGACGGUAGCUGGAUAAGAAGCGCCGGCUAACUACGUGCCAGCAGCCGCGGUAAUACGUAGGGCGCGAGCGUUGUCCGGAAUUAUUGGGCGUAAAGAGCUCGUAGGCGGCUGGUCGCGUCUGUCGUGAAAUCCCCUGGCUUAACUGGGGGCUUGCGGUGGGUACGGGCCGGCUUGAGUGCGGUAGGGGAGACUGGAAUUCCUGGUGUGGCGGUGGAAUGCGCAGAUAUCAGGAGGAACACCGGUGGCGAAGGCGGGUCUCUGGGCCGUUACUGACGCUGAGGAGCGAAAGCGUGGGGAGCGAACAGG